rnacentral:misc_RNA from 2 species
CCGAGUGAGGGCUCCGGCCCAACCUCCAACCCUUUGUGAAUUCGACCCAGUUGCCUCGGGGGCGACCCGGCCUUCGGGCGUCGGGGCCCCCGGUGGACCACUCAACCCUGCAUCGAUGCGUCCGAGUAUUAAUAUAAAUCAAUCA